CAGCCGCCGCGGUAAUACCGGCGGCCCGAGUGGCGGUCACUAUUAUUGGGCUUAAAGCGUCCGUAGCCGGGUUGGGAAGUCCUCCGGGAAAUCUGGCCGCUUAACGGUCAGAAUGCCGGAGGAUACUCCCAGCCUAGGGAGCGGGAGAGGCCCAGGGGAUUCCCGGAGUAGGGGUGAAAUCCUAUAAUCCCGGGAGGACCACCUGUGGCGAAGGCGCUCGGCUGGAACGCGUCCGACGGUGAGGGACGAAGGCCAGGGGAGCAAACCGGAUUAGAUACCCGGGUAGUCCUGGCUGUAAACGAUGCGGACUUUGUGUCGGACAAGCUAUGAGCUUGUCCGGUGCCGGAGGGAAACCGUUAAGUCCGCCGCCUGGGGAGUACGGCCGCAAGGCUGAAACUUAAAGGAAUUGGCGGG
rnacentral:rRNA from 1 species